ensembl:lncRNA
CAGCCUGUAAAACAAGUCGUGUUUGUUUGUAGCCUCUGCUCUUUCUUUGCCUUUUCUUCUGGUGAAGUACCUGGACAGUACGGCCCCCUGCUUACUGCGAGUUCCAGGCCCACCACAGGGGGCUGUCUCUUGCCUUUUUUAACUGUUUGUUAGGCCCUGUGCAUAUGUUACGAUGGUUUUGAAAAUACACACUCCUAAUUAGCCACAGCCUUUGUGGCUAUUGAGUGUAUUGAAAAGCCAAGGAAUCAUUGCAACAGUGACCAAUGCCCUUCCAGUCCUAAAUUUUGGACACCUAACUGCAGUUUUCAGCGUUACGUUUCUCCAUGCAGAAAUAGAAUUAAAAAAUCCCCAAGCCCCUUUGUUUUAAAGUUGCUGACCAAAAGACUGGAGACAGUCUUCCGGUAACCCGAAUUAUUGGGAUGCCUUAGAAACGUCAUGCUGCAAACAAGACUUACCUGGGUAGGGUGCCAUUACGUGUGUGUGUUCUGACUGCUCCUCCUCAGUAAGUUCUGAGGUGGAGAUUUGAAGGCAGGCGUCCUACCAGAACAGUGCACAGUUCUGUGGGGUUCUGGCAUUGCUAUGAAGUUACCUCAUUAUUAAAACCUGCAGCGAACUCUUUUGAUUUCAGCCUUUUAAACUGUAUCCUAUUGAAGCGUGUUGCACAUUCCCCAGGAUGUAGGGCAGCAGAGAAGCCUGCCUUUCUGUGCAGCUGCUGUUUGUAGCACUGCUAUGCUGAUGACCUUUCUGUUUCCAGAACAACUAUUGAAUGGUCAGAAUCUCAUGACAGAGGCUAUGGAAAUCUUCAGUCUGUUAAAAUGGAGCACUAUGCAUUUAAUGAUUUGUCUCUCAAAAUUGCCUUUCCGUAUUCUGCCACCAAGGCAACUGUGAGCAUAUUGUUGUCAUCACGGAGAUAAGGUAAGUUACUGCUGUUUGGGUCUUGCCAGGUGGUUAACAGCAAGCCUGCAGUAGACAAACUUCAGACAUUAAAUGCUAAGUAUCUCUUAGACUAACAUGAAGAUUAUUCUGUUGCCAUCUGCAGGGUUUAUUUAAGACUUCAGUCAGUCAGUACGUAUGUAACUACCUUGGCUAAGAGGAAAGUACUUCUCCCUUGCAUUUUCUUUUUUUUCCCAAUAAUUUGUUCUGUGUAAGUAGCCUUGUUUCCAACUGGCAUGACAUGACUGUAGUAUGGGAGGAAUUGCACGCAUGGUGAAAAGUCUUUUGUGUGCAGAGCCAGUGUGUGGCAAAUCUACAUAUGAAUUUUGGAUGGUUUGGGAAUGUGGAUAGUGGCUCUGGGUAGAGUCAACUAGACUUGUUAGUUUAGGCUUUGUGCCAAGCAGCAGGAAUUGCAAAAAGAUUGGAGGAAUGGAAAUAAUAGGCUGAGGUGAAUGGACAAGGAGGAGAGGGGAGAAGGUGAUGGUGCCUGUGAGGUGGCAAUUACCUCAGCAAUAGAGCUGUUACGUAUAUUCUGCUUAAUGUAUGAUGUGUAGAGAGUGCUCCUCUGAAUGCCUGUAAAUCAAUUGCUGUUCCUAUAAGCCUGAUGUAGCUAGGUACUGUUAAUAAGUAGUAUCUCCAAAGAUUUGUACAACCCGAAGAAGAGUCUCAAGGUUAUGAACGUCUGAAUGUUUCCCUGUUGAUGCUUGUGCCCAUUGCUCUAUGUGGGAGGCAUAAGCUUUGAAGCUUCAGUACUCUGAAUUACCUCUUUGAGUGUCUAAGAGAGAUGGUCAGAGAACCUGCGUUAGUAACACAAACUAAAGUUACUCCUGACCAUAAGAGCCACAAGUGUUACAACUAGCAGUCAGAUCUCCAAGUCUUCAUCUGCUUUAAGAAAUGCUAAGAGGUGAAGUCGUAGUUUGCACUGGAGUUGAAAUGAUGCCCUGUACUCUGUGUAUGUCAUGUUCAGAUCAGCGUCAGUGUGGCUGAACCUUUAUUUUUUAUUUGUUUAUUUUCCUUAAGGCUUAUUCGUUAUGAUUGCCUGGACAGGAACCUUCAUCUUGUUGAUCAAGAAACACUGAUUAUGUGCCAGAAAAUGCUUUGUAUGCAAAAUGUGUGCAGCCAGGUACGUUACGUUUACAGCUCUUUUAAGAUGCCUUAAAGAAGCUUUUCUAGGUGCUGCUACUAACUUGGAGGGGAAAAAAAAGACUGUUUUUGAUAUGCUGUGUGAAUAAUCUUCAUCUGAAACUAAGUAUUUUGAGAUACUACUAUUCAGGUGGUUGUCUAGUUGUCUUCUCCUUGCCUUGGAAAAUAUUUUCUACAUGUAGAAUUCAUCGGGAGGUGAUUCAGGAUGAUCAAAGAACUGCAGUAGUGAAGAGGGUAAUUCAUUGGCUCAGAUUCUCUUGCAUGAAUAGAGCUAGAUUCUUGAUGAGUUCCUUAACUUUUGUGACUCUCAAGUAGAGGGGAGGUAUGGAUCCAUCCAACGUAGAAGUAAUAUAUCAGGAAAGUUUCAGAAGAAGGCAGCGUAUUGCUUCCCCACAGAUAAGUUCCUGACCUCCACCUGAAAGCUCCAUACUGUGCUUCUGUACUCGAAGAAG